AGUGAACGCUGGCGGUAGGCCUAACACAUGCAAGUCGAACGGCAGCACAGUAAGAGCUUGCUCUUACGGGUGGCGAGUGGCGGACGGGUGAGGAAUACAUCGGAAUCUACUUUUUCGUGGGGGAUAACGUAGGGAAACUUACGCUAAUACCGCAUACGACCUACGGGUGAAAGCAGGGGAUCUUCGGACCUUGCGCGAUUGAAUGAGCCGAUGUCGGAUUAGCUAGUUGGCGGGGUAAAGGCCCACCAAGGCGACGAUCCGUAGCUGGUCUGAGAGGAUGAUCAGCCAGACUGGAACUGCGACACGGUCCAGACUCCUACGGGAGGCAGCAGUGGGGAAUAUUGGACAAUGGGCGCAAGCCUGAUCCAGCCAUACCGCGUGGGUGAAGAAGGCCUUCGGGUUGUAAAGCCCUUUUGUUGGGAAAGAAAAGCAGAAGGUUAAUACCCCGCUGUUCUGACGGUACACAAAGAAUAAGCACCGGCUAACUUCGUG
rnacentral:rRNA from 1 species